rnacentral:rRNA from 1 species
UACGUAGGCAGCAAGCGUUGUUCGGAGUUACUGGGCGUAAAGAGUGUGUAGGCGGUUCCCUAAGUUCGGUGUGAAAUCUCCCGGCUCAACUGGGAGGGUGCGCCGGAAACUGGGGGGCUCGAGUGUGGGAGAGGAAAGCGGAAUUCCUGGUGUAGUGGUGAAAUGCGUAGAUAUCAGGAGGAACACCUGCGGUGUAGACGGCUUUCUGGACCAUUACUGACGCUGAGACACGAAAGCGUGGGUAGCAAACAGG